rnacentral:sRNA from 1 species
ACCCUGCCUCCACGACGGUCAGUGACGCGCGAGCGGCUGCAGCGACUGUGCCUCCCGAAGCUGCUUCGGGCCCCAGCGGAGUAUUUUAUACAGAAAUCUUGUGAAACCACUGCCCAACCAGAGCGAUGAUUGUUCAAAGAGUGGUAUUGAAUUCUCGACCUGGAAAAAAUGGUAAUCCAGUGGCAGAGAAUUUCCGAAUGGAAGAAGUCUAUUUACCAGAUAAUAUUAAUGAAGGACAAGUACAAGUUAGAACUCUUUAUCUUUCUGUGGAUCCUUACAUGCGUUGUAGAAUGAAUGAAGACACUGGCACUGAUUAUAUAACACCUUGGCAGCUAUCUCAAGUCGUUGAUGGUGGAGGUAUUGGAAUUAUAGAAGAAAGCAAACACACAAAUUUGACUAAAGGCGAUUUUGUGACUUCUUUCUAUUGGCCCUGGCAAACCAAGGUUAUUCUGGAUGGAAAUAGCCUUGAAAAGAGAUGGGUUGUCACUGUGUUGCCCCGGCUGGUCUCAAACUCCUA